GGCCGAGUGGCUCAAUGGCAGAGCGUCUGACUACGACUAUAUAAGUACAGUAAUCAGGAGGUUCCAGGUUCGACCCCUGGCUUGGUCG